rnacentral:rRNA from 1 species
CAAUAGCGUAUAUUAAAGUUGUUGCAGUUAAAAGCUCGUAGUUGGAUUUCUGGCAGUGUGACUCCGGCCGGCAUGACGUCGGGUCCAGAGCGCGCUACCAUCCUUCUGUCAACCUUCGCGGGAUUCACUUCCCGCCCUGGGGCUCAGAUAUUUUACCUUGAGAAAAUUAGAGUGUUUCAGGCAGGCUUUCGCCGGAAUACAUUAGCAUGGAAUAAUGGAAAAGGACUUCAACCUCUUCUGUUGGGUCUGUAGGGGCUGUAGUAAUGAUUAAUAGGGAUAGUUGGGGGCGAUUAGUACGUUGACUGUCAGAGGUGAAAUUCUCCGAUUU